CCGCAAUCAAUACAACUUUCAACAACGGAUCUCUUGGCUCUCGCAUCGAUGAAGAACGCAGCGAAAUGCGAUACGUAAUGUGAAUUGCAGAAUUCAGUGAAUCAUCGAAUCUUUGAACGCACCUUGCGCCCCCUGGUAUUCCGAGGGGCACACCCGUUUGAGUGUCGUGAAAACCUCAACCUCCUUGGUUUCUUCUGGAGACCAAAGCAGGCUUGGACUUUGGAGGCCUUUGCUGGCACCUCUCGCCAGCUCCUCUUAAAUGAAUUAGCAGGGUCCUCUUUGCUGAUCCUCGACGUGUGAUAAGAUGUUUCCAUGUCUUGGUUUCUGGCUCUGUCACCUUUGGGACCCGCUUCUAACCGUCUUCAACCUUGCGUUGAGACAACGUUCGAGCAUGUCUCCCUU
rnacentral:rRNA from 1 species